rnacentral:rRNA from 1 species
UACGAAGGGUGCAAGCGUUACUCGGAAUUACUGGGCGUAAAGCGUGCGUAGGUGGUCGUUUAAGUCCGUUGUGAAAGCCCUGGGCUCAACCUGGGAACUGCAGUGGAUACUGGGCGACUAGAAUGUGGUAGAGGGUAGCGGAAUUCCUGGUGUAGCAGUGAAAUGCGUAGAGAUCAGGAGGAACAUCCAUGGCGAAGGCAGCUACCUGGACCAACAUUGACACUGAGGCACGAAAGCGUGGGGAGCAAACA